rnacentral:misc_RNA from 1 species
UCCCCGUUGCCGGGGCAGUCUAUUCAGAAAAAUCCAACUGAAUACAAGGAUUGCGCUCGUUGAUGGACUUAACCAAACAUCUCACGACACGAGCUGACGACGGCCAUGCAACACCUGUCACUUGGCUCAAUAAAGCACUCUCUCCUUUCGGAGAAAUUCCAAGGAUGUCAAACCCUGGUAAGGUUCUUCGUUUACCAUCGAAUUAAAGAACACGCUCCACCGCUUGUGCGGGUCCCCGUCAAUUCCUUUAUGUUUUAGUCUUGCGACCGUACUCCACAGGCGGGAUGCUUAACGCGUUAGCUUCGCUACUAACCGGGUCGAUACGGUUAACAGCUAGCAUCCAUCGUUUACGGCGUGGACUAC